CAGGCUUUCUCUGCAUUAGAAGAGCUAAAUAUACCCUUGCAUGUCUGAUUAGAGAAAAACAAAACAAACAAGCAAAAGCUCCUCCGAUGCACAGAGGUACUGCUCCAUUGAACUAGACCAGAAGAGCUUGGGCCUGCCCCUUGGGAACAGGGGUCAACAUGAUGCGGUGGGCAGGGACCCAUCAUCUGACAAGAAGAUGCCCUGAGGGCAAUGGAAAGCACGGUGUGUCGGGAGAAGAUGGCCCUGAGGGCAGGUGCAUUCAGGUGCUUGUGAACGCUGCAGCAUGUUGGGUCUCUAGUUUUGUAUCAGUCAGCUACUCUCACAACAAUGCUGUGUAACAAACCACCCCAAACUCAGUUGCAAACAAUGAUAUUUAUUUCUCAUUCUCAUGUCCACAGGUCUACUGGGGUUCAUCCCAUCUGAGCCAGGCCUGGCUUUUCUUGGCUGCAAGCUGAGAGCUGGGUCCAGGUCUGCUGAACCAAGGUUCUCCCAUCUUCCUUGAGCCAGUGACAAUCAGAGGCCUAUUUCUUUCAUGACGGAAGGCAGGAGAACAAGCAGCUCCCGGCUCACCCACCCAGCAGCUCAGCACCUGCGAAAUCCGUCUCCCGAUGCACACUUGCUAACCGCGUGGGUGUGAGCACAACGAUGGGAAACAGCGGAAGUCCCCGGAGUGCAGACUCAGGAGUGAACCUGCCUGAAGAGUGGCGUCUAACGCACACACUGUGGUCAGCUCCACCCCACUAUGGGUCCCGGGAAUAGGAGCAAGUAUGUAUUUUGCUUGCAGGGCAGGUGUUUCAUCCACAUUAUUGCAGGAACAGAUGAAUUUAAUUAAAAGAACACCACAGUGGGCACCUCUUCCAGGGAUGUCUCCCUCUAAGAACAUGACACUGAGAUGAUCAAGGUUCUAAAAGGGCGAUCAAAUUACUCUCCGAAAAUGAAACUGCUCAGACAGAAUGACAAUUAAAUUAAUAACAACCAAGACAAUGCCCAGAUUUCAUCUCCGCUCACAGCCCCUCCUGUGUGCUGUAUGAUCAGGUUCUUGGGGUGGCUCCAGAUACAGCAAACAGUCAGGAUUAAUCCACAAGAGUGAGCUGUCAGCAUGAGGUUCCCCUACAGUGGAGCUUGCCAAGGUCCGUGCCUCCCAGGGCACCCGUUCCAGGGCUAACAGAUGAAGCAUGGAAAUGCUGUGUGGAGUGAGCUAAGCAGCCGUUCUCAGGAGAAAACAGACAAAUCCUCCUGCAUCCUGGCAAACCAGCUUUGUGGCCUGUUUUAUGUCAUCUUUGCUGAGCUCCACCGGGUCACCCCUCCUGUUGGCUUUGUGAUACUGACAUUUCAGGCACUGGCACAGAUACAUUGGCCUUCCUGGCUGGGAUUUCACGGACGGAGUGAGCAGUGCUGGCUUGGAGGAGCCGUGGCGGCACAGGGCCUGUGCUCUCAGCUGAUCAACGCCUUGAUAGCCAGGAAAGGCCUGUCCUACCCCAAAGGGCCCUCGCAGCACUGUUUGAAAUUGCUCUUGCCAUCUUUGGAAUGGAUUCCUCAGUACAUUUCAGACUCGUUGUUGUGACUUUGGUUUUAAUCCAGGGACACACCGUGGCCAGUGGAGUGUCUCAACAGCAUCUAUGAUCGCUGUUUCCCAGAGACAGCAUCUCAGAUACCGAUGCUGAAAGAGAAACAGCAGCCUGUCCCCAAGUGGCAGGAAAUAGUCCAUUUUAAUGGCAAUUUCAUAAGUGGCAGAUGAUUUUUAUUGUAAUUUUCUGGUGAGCUGAUUAAGUGGAGGCAGAGUCAGUUCUGAGGCGUCAAUGUCUUUAACAAUUCGGGGAGACGGAGGCCACGCUCAGCAGGAACACUGAGUCCAUGGAAAACAGGCCCUGGGCCCGCUGAUGUGCAUAAUUCCACGUUUGCCCCUCAUGUAACCAGGAUGGUAAAUUACAGGUGUCAGAUAAUCACGCUCUGGAGUGGCUACUUGAGGAUGCGAUCGACCAAUUUAAGCUCCGUCUGACACAUGAUCAAUAGCCCGUGAUGCUGCAUGGAAUUGCAGGCACAGUGUCCAAACCUGCAGAGCAGUGGCUCCCAGCUGGGGCAACUUUGCCCCCCAGAGGACAUUUGGCAAUGUCUGGAUAUGUUUGCAAUUGUCACAACUAGGAAAGGAGGUACCCAUAGGAUACACAGGAAAGUCCUCACACAGUUGUAUCCUGCCCAGACUGUCCGUAGAGCCAGGGUGAGAUGCUCUGACAGAGCCACAGUGAACAUUGCAUUCCAUCAUCUGGGUAUCUCCAGGAAUGUAUGUAGCUGGAUGUCUGGCUUUUCAUCUGGGUUUCACGAGCCUCCUGCAGAACUGAAACCAUGUGCAAAUCAGUUCUCAUACUUGCUCUCCUGCCUCCUUCCUAUUGUAAUUUUUUCUUCCCACCUUUUUUAUUGUUACUAGAGAAAUGAUGAAGAAAAAGAAUAGGCUGGAGAGUCACUCAAAAUUUUGUUUUCCUCAAUUAAAAAGAAGUAAUUUAGAAGUUACUCAAUGAUGUUUUCUUUAAUUAAAAAAAAAAGUAGUUUGGGAAAGCAGAAAAUUAAUGAAGACAGAAAACACAGGUUUCAUGAAAAAGUUCAGCAUCCCAGGAAAGGAGCAAAGAGAAGUCUGCAGAUGAGAGUUGCUCAGUGUCAGGACUCAGAAAACAAUACCCCAAGAUAAUGUUCAAACCUGAGUGCUUUGAACAAAGGAUAUUGAAAGACCUCAGAAGAGGGCCUCAGAACUCACAUGUCUCUCUGACCUUCUCCUGUCUCUCCUUCACUUCCAAAGCAUGAUCUUUGGCCAGGGGAUCUCUCUGGGAUUCCCUUAUCUGCCUGAGGGAUGUACUUCCAAAAGAAAUGUGACUGGCAUGACCUCCUCCCUAGGAAUCUCUUCAAACAGCCGGGAAAGACUGGUCACCUGAGAGGAGAUUGGAAGUCCUCACUGCACUCAGAAAGGCUGUUGUCCAUUCUUCUAGAGACUUUAUCUGAAUAACAAGGCAACUUUUGUUUACCAUUCAGUUCCUCCCCUUUCCUUUCUAACUUGUCACCACCUCCCCCAAAAGCCUCAAGCCUCCACUCCUACAAGCUAUAAAGACUUCAACCAUCUGGCUUCUCCAUGAGUCUCAUGUUUUGUGUGGCUCUUAGGCAUAUGUGCAUGGUAAUACAUGUGUAUGCCUUUCCUCCGGGUAAUCUGUUUAUUGUCAGUUUAAAGCAGCCACAGAGUUAAAGACGGAAGCCUUCAGAAGGCUUUCCCUUUGCCCCUGCAUCCAUCACCUGAGAGCCCACCCAUGACAGACUUGAACUAUGGACAGAGGCUGCAGUCAAUAGAGCCCAGGGUGAGACUGACUACAGGAGAAGCUGGGCCUUGGGGGAUAAGCCCAAGCUUCUCAAUUCUCAAACUGCAGGUUAAGCCUCUAUAAUGGAGCCUGAAUUCCAUUCAGUGAGUCUUGACCAGCAUUUUAAAAUGUGAAAUAACAGAACUCAGUAGAAAAUAUCAAAGGGCAUUACUUAUAGUGAGGUAAGAAUAUUCUGCGAAAUUUUAGUUUUAUAUUGAGUGUGUGUGUGUGUGUGUGCACGCGCACGCCAGGCCUUGUUGUAAAAUAUACUUCUUAUAAUGGGUUGUGUUCAAAACAGCUUGUAAAAUAUGGGAGCAGAUGAAAUGAUGGAGGAUUUGGUAAGAACUAAAUAUUUGUAAGCAAAUUUUGCAGUGAAAAGAACAAGGAAAUUAUUAAUUCAAGAGAAAUCAAAAGUAGUAUAAGAAAGAAAAUGCAACCAUAUUGCCAUACUUGGCUCUGCUGUAAAUAACAUCUACUUGGCCACAUGACAUAAAUGCUGAUUAUGAUGAUGUCAUUGAAAACGGUAAUUUAGCCAUGCAGGAGGCUGUGAGUUAUGGUGGCAAGUGGAGGAAGAGAGCUAAUCCCUCCUCUGGGGGCCGGCAUUGAGAGAUCACAGAGCAACUUGAAUCCCCGUGAAGCACUUGCUCUUACAAGAUUUGGAAGAAACUUGCACAAACAGUAAAGUGUCUUUACUUGUGGAUGUCUCUGGGAAAAGAUGGGCAGGGAACAGAAAGAUUCAACGGUGUUUGAUUUGGUGACCAUAUAUCUCUUUAAUUUAAAAAGGGAUCAUUCAGGACCAGUGAGGCCAUGGUGGUGUUCAUUG
rnacentral:lncRNA from 1 species